GGUUAUGGCUAAGCGGUAGAGUGCUUGCCUCUCAUGUGCAAGGCCCUGGGUUCGAUCCUCAGCACCA
rnacentral:tRNA from 1 species